CAAGAUGAGAUUUCCCAUAGCGUAAGCUAGUAAGACUCCUGGAAGAACACCAGGUUGAUAGGUCAGAGAUGUAAGCAUGGCAACAUGUUAAGUUGACUGAUACUAAUAAGUCGAGGGCUUGACCAAAUAA
rnacentral:rRNA from 3 species